UAAAAAUAUAUUAUCUAUCUAUACUGGUUGAAGGUGUGUAGUCUGCAGCUGCAAAAGAGGUAGCUCUGAUCUACUCAAACCUGUGGGCAUGAGAUGGAAAGACUGGUUUAAAGGUGAGAACUAAUAGCCUUGAAUCUCUAUGUUAAAUCUGAGGAAGAGUGUCCAAAGAAGAACAAUGAAGCUGGUUAAAGGUCCUGAGAACAACUCUGGUGAGGAGCAGAAACCAGAGAGGUGCAGCCGGGCGGGCAGGAGGAGACCAAGCG